GGAGUCUGGUCCGUGUCUCAGUACCAGUGUGGGGGGACCUUCCUCUCAGAACCCCUACGCAUCGUCGCCUUGGUGGGCCGUUACCCCGCCAACAAGCUAAUGCGCCGCAUGCCCAUCCCGGACCGACGGAUCUUUCACCCUAAGGACAUGCGUCCUCAGGGCAUAUGGGGUAUUAGACCCAGUUUCCCGGGUUUAUCCCCCUGUCCGGGGCAGGUCGCAUACGUGUUACUCACCCGUGCGCCGGUCGCCAUCACAGAUAGCAAGCUACCUGCAUGCUGCCCCUCGACUUGCAUGUGUUAAGCCUGUAGCUAGCGUUCAUC
rnacentral:rRNA from 1 species